rnacentral:rRNA from 1 species
GCUCCAAUAGCGUAUAUUAAAGUUGUUGCAGUUAAAAAGCUCGUAGUUGAAUUUCUGGUGGGAGUGUACAGUCCGACACUGAGUGUUGGUUCUUGUAUGUCUCCGGCCAUCCUUGGAGUGAAUCUGUCUGGCAUUCAGUUGUUGGGCAGAGUAUCUCCAUCGUUUACUGUGAGGAAAUGAAAGUGUUCAAAGCAGCUUAC